CCCAUCAUCCAGCACUCACACACCCAUCAUCCAGCACCCACACACCCAUCAUCCAGCACCCACACACACAUCAUCCAGCACUCACACACCCAUCAUCCAGCACUCACACACCCAUCAUCCAGCACUCACAUCCAUCAUCCAGCACUCACACACCCAUCAUCCAGCACUCACACACAUCAUCCAGCACUCACACACCCAUCAUCCAGCACUCACACACCCAUCAUCCAGCACACACACACAUCAUCCAGCACUCACACACACCCA